rnacentral:rRNA from 1 species
AGCGAACGCUGGCGGCAGGCCUAACACAUGCAAGUCGAACGGCAGCACAGAGGAGCUUGCUCCUUGGGUGGCGAGUGGCGGACGGGUGAGGAAUACAUCGGAAUCUACUCUGUCGUGGGGGAUAACGUAGGGAAACUUACGCUAACACCGCAUACGACCUACGGGUGAAAGCAGGGGAUCUUCGGACCUUGCGCGAUUGAAUGAGCCGAUGUCGGAUUAGCUAGUUGGCGGGGCAAAGGCCCACCAAGGCGACGAUCCGUAGCUGGUCUGAGAGGAUGAUCAGCCACACGGGAACUGAGACACGGUCCAGACUCCUACGGGAGGCAGCAGUGGGGAAUAUUGGACAAUGGGCGCAAGCCUGAUCCAGCCAUACCGCGUGGGUGAAGGAGGCCUUCGGGUUGUAAAGCCCUUUUGUUGGGAAAGAAAUCCAUCUGGUUAAUACCCGGGUGGGAUGACGGUACCCAAAGAAUAAGCACCGGCUAACUUCGUGCCAGCCGCCGCCGUAA